GACGAACGCUGGCGGCGUGCUUAACACAUGCAAGUCGAACGGAAAGGCCCUGCUUUUGUGGGGUGCUCGAGUGGCGAACGGGUGAGUAACACGUGAGUAACCUGCCCUUGACUUUGGGAUAACUUCAGGAAACUGGGGCUAAUACCGGAUAGGAGCUCCUGCUGCAUGGUGGGGGUUGGAAAGUUUCGGCGGUUGGGGAUGGACUCGCGGCUUAUCAGCUUGUUGGUGGGGUAGUGGCUUACCAAGGCUUUGACGGGUAGCCGGCCUGAGAGGGUGACCGGCCACAUUGGGACCGAGAUACGGCCCAGACUCCUACGGGAGGCAGCAGUGGGGAAUCUUGCACAAUGGGCGGAAGCCUGAUGCAGCAACGCCGCGUGCGGGAUGAUGGCCUUCGGGUUGUAAACCGCUUUCGCCUGUGACGAAGCGUGAGUGACGGUAAUGGGUAAAGAAGCACCGGCUAACUACGUG
rnacentral:rRNA from 1 species